rnacentral:rRNA from 1 species
AGAUUGAACGCUGGCGGCAUGCCUUACACAUGCAAGUCGAACGGCAGCGCGGGAGCAAUCCUGGCGGCGAGUGGCGAACGGGUGAGUAAUAUAUCGGAACGUGCCCAGUAGGUGGGGGAUAGCCCGGCGAAAGCCGGAUUAAUACCGCAUACGACCUGGAGGGUGAAAGCGGGGGAUCGCAAGACCUCGCGCUACUGGAGCGGCCGAUAUCAGAUUAGCUAGGUUGGUGGGUAAAGGCCUACCAAGGCAACGAUCUGUAGUUGGUCUGAGAGGACGACCAGCCACACUGGGACUGAGACACGGCCCAGACUCCACGGGAGCAGCAGGUGGGAAUUUGGACAAGUGGCGACAAGCCUGACUCCAGCAAUGCCGCGUGCGAGGAAGGAAGGCCGUUUCGGGUUAGUAAACGUGUC